GAUGAAGAACGUAGCGAAAUGCGAUAAGUAAUGUGAAUUGCAGAAUUCAGUGAAUCAUCGAAUCUUUGAACGCACAUUGCGCCCGUCAGUAUUCUGGCGGGCAUGCCUGUUCGAGCGUCAUUACGCCCCUCAAGUCCCCUGUGGACUUGGUGUUGGGGAUCGGCGAGGCUGGUUUUCCAGCACAGCCGUCCCUUAAAUUAAUUGGCGGUCUCGCCGUGGCCCUCCUCUGCGCAGUAGUAAAACACUCGCAACAGGAGCCCGGCGCGGUCCACUGCCGUAAAACCCCCCAACUUUUUAUAGUUGACCUCGAAUCAGGUAGGACUACCCGCUGAACUUAAGCAUAUCAAUAAGCCGGAGGA
rnacentral:misc_RNA from 1 species